CUAUAAAGUCACAGCCAAAGGCUCUGAAAGCACAAGUGAAGAAUCUGAGCUGACCCAAAAGCAGUGGGUCCCAUCGUGUCUCCAGACAGGACCAAGCUCCCAGGCUCUGCCUGGGAAGCACAGAGCCUUCUGCCAGCUGGAGUUCAAGCGGAUGCUGACGGAGUGAUGUGAGCUGCUCCUGCCAGGCUUGGUGUGCUCCCAGUGCUCCUGCAGGCACCUCCUAGCAUGGUCCCCCUGCCAGGCUGCUCCGCGGGUGCCAGCAGUGCCCGCCCGGCUCCAGGGACUCCAGGCUGACCCCACACCCCUGGCACUGGACCCACCGAGCAGGAACCGUGUGGGUGCUUCUGGAGCAGCUGGUCGAUAGAUCUGCUCUUUGAAAGGCUGGCACAGCCUCAGACAGGAAGAUCUGCUGUUUACCAAGCAACACUCUG
rnacentral:lncRNA from 1 species